UACGAAGGGGGCUAGCGUUGUUCGGAAUUACUGGGCGUAAAGCGUGCGCAGGCGGCCUUCCAAGUCAGGGGUGAAAGCCCAGAGCUCAACUCUGGAAUUGCCUUUGAGACUGUGAGGCUUGAGUACGGGAGAGGUGAGUGGAAUUCCCAGUGUAGAGGUGAAAUUCGUAGAUAUUGGGAAGAACACCGGUGGCGAAGGCGGCUUGCUGGGCUUGGUCUGACGCUGAGGCACGAAAGCGUGGGGAGCGAACAGG
rnacentral:rRNA from 1 species